rnacentral:rRNA from 1 species
CCUACGGGAGGCAGCAGUGGGGAAUCUUGCACAAUGGGGGAAACCCUGAUGCAGCGACGCCGCGUGAGUGAAGAAGUAAUUCGUUAUGUAAAGCUCUAUCAGCAGGGAAGACACUGCCGGUCCCUGCGUACGAAGCCCCGGCUACAUACGUGCCAGCAGCCGCGGUAAUACGUAGGGGGCCCGCGUUAUCCGGCUUUCCUGGGUGGCCCGGGCGCGUCGACGGCAGUGCCCGUCUGGCGUGCCAUGCGGGGGCUCAACCCCCGGACUGCUCUGGCAACUGUACGGCUGGAGUGCAGGAGAGGUAAGUGGAAUUCCUAGUGUAGCGGUGAAAUGCGUAGAUAUUAGGAGGAACACCAGUGGCGAAGGCGGCUUACUGGACUGUAACUGACGUUGAGGCUCGAAAGCGUGGGGAGCAAACAGGAUUAGAGACCCUAGUAGUC